rnacentral:rRNA from 1 species
UACGAAGGGGGCUAGCGUUGCUCGGAAUCACUGGGCGUAAAGGGCGCGUAGGCGGCCCCCCAAGUCAAGGGUGAAAUCUUUCGGCUUAACCGGAAAAGUGCCUUUGAUACUGGGGGGCUCGAGGGAGGUAGGGGCGGACGGAACUUCCGGUGGAGCGGUGAAAUGCGUUGAUAUCGGAAGGAACGCCGGUGGCGAAAGCGGUCCGCUGGCCCUCUACUGACGCUGAGGCGCGAAAGCCAGGGGAGCAAACGGG